ensembl:lncRNA
GAAAGACCCCAGCUUAGCAGCAGUAACGCCAUUUUGCAAGGCUGUACUUAAGAUGACUGGUUCAGAGAAAGGUUAGAACACUGAGUACACAGCGGCUGCCAAACAAGAUGUGUUUGGUUGAAGGCCUGGCAACAGGAGGACUGCCGUUGAGCACCUGACAAUAAGAAAAGCCCCGGGAGAGGUCCCACACCCUGGUGGGGGGCCGAGUCAGCCGUUAUGUUCCAAGAAGGUAGCUAAGAAACUUGCCCCCGGGCUGAACCCUUGGGGGGCCGAGUCAGUCCUUAUGUUUCAGGAAGGUAGCUAGGAAACUUGCCCCCGGGCUAAACCCUUGCCAUAUUAGAAUCCACCAAUUAUAUCCCUGUAACCAUGCAUCUGCUUCUGUAUGCUUGCUUCUGCUCCCCAAAAUCCUAUAAAAGCCCAUCCUUGGUUCUGUGGGGCGCGCCAGUCCCCCGAGUGACUGAAGCGCCCGCAGGUGCCUGUGCCUGUGUAUCCCGACAAUAAACCAAAUCCUCUUGCUGAUUGCAUCCUGUGGUGUCUCGGUCUGGUCUUUGGAGUUAGAGGGUCUCCAUCCCGAGGGAAAGUUCUCCCUGAGAGCUUUUCAUUUGGUGCAUUGGCCGGGAAAGGAGAUCCUCCACCCAGGGACCACCGACCACCCACUGGGAGGUAAGCCGGCCGGCGUCUGUCUGUCUGUCUGUCUGAUUUUGUCUCGUUCUGCCUUAUUCUGUCUGUUCUGUGAGCGCUCAGCCAGGUUCUGUGAGCGCUCAGCCAGGUCUGUUCUGUGAGCGCUCAGCCAGGUUGUUUGGAAUUUGGGUGGGACGAAGAAGGAGCUGACGAGCUCGGACUUCUCGCCCCGCAGCCCUGGAAGACGUUCCAAGGGUGUUGGGGCCCGACUUUUCGGGGCCCAAUCUGGGAGAGGAGAAAGAUCCGGACUAACGGCACUCUGUCUGUAUUUCUGGCUUUCAGAGGGCCCCGGACCUUUGCCACCUCCAUCUGACUUUUUGCUUUCAGUUUGGUACCAAAGCCGUGCAGCACGCCUGUCUGUUGUUUGUUUGACUGUUGGUGUUGUUUGUUUUCUCUGUGUUCUAAUCUUCCUUAGAACUAACAUGGGACAGUCCCUAACAACGC